rnacentral:pre_miRNA from 1 species
CAGCAGCAAUUCAUGUUUUGAAGUGCUAUGAUUCAUUCAAAACGUGAGGCGCUGCUAUA